CCGCAUCAAAGCAGCUUCAUCCAUGCGAAAACAGGGGAGAGGGAAUGAUCCCAUGCGUCCGCCACAUCGAUCCCAAGUGCCCGUUCGAAUGCAUCCAACUCCCGUGCCAGCCACCGUGCCAGCAGCCCGCGUUCUUCACGCGGUGAACAUCCCAGCGAUCCAGCCUCCUCUAUCGCUCCCAAUCAUCUCGGAAUCCCAGCGGCCAGCCCCUCCUUCCAACGAUCCCGCCUCACAGAUCGCCUCCAGCCGCAUCCGCACCAUGAUCGGCGGCCUCCCAGUGAUCCCACGGCUCCCUCCACGGAUACCGCGCCCGUCCGCCCUCUCCUUCCUCCCAUAGAUCACGCCAUCAUCCCGGACGGUCCAGCUCCAUUCCGUCGAUCCCGCGGCCCCAAGUUCGUGAUCAACGUCCCA
rnacentral:lncRNA from 1 species